rnacentral:lncRNA from 1 species
CCCAGUAAGGAACUAGCACCAUUAGUAUUUAAGGUGGAUAAUUUUAUAAAACAGCAAGAAAAGGGCAAACACAAGGCAUUAACGGGAAAAUGAUUAAAGUGUCUGUGGACAGCUUACAGAAGACAGAUCGCUUGAAUCGUUAACCCUGGAAUCGCGGGGUUGUUACUGAAGAAAACACCAAGGAAUCACUGCCCAGUCAUUUACAACAAUGAGCUUUCUAUGGAGAGUGAUAGGAGCCGGAGACACCAGACAACAACAGAAGCAAUCCUCCUGUGACAACACAAAGUCCAAGAGCUAAGCAAACCCGUGUCCUUAACCUGUGGAUGCAGAUCCUUACAUGCCAGCGCAUCGUUUUGUGGCUCCGUAGAUCACUGUUUUCCUUUGAGCAUAAUACAGAAUGAACAUAUGG